UGUACGUUGGAAUUUCUACACCUGAACACCUUCUCUGAAUCAUACCCAUUGGUCUAUGCGGCAAGAAAUUAGCCGUAGAUACAUAUGUCUUUAGAGUAUGUGACCUGACUAUAAAUGGUCUAUGGCUCUAUAGGUCUAUAGAAAUGGCUUCCUGAGCCAAAGAAAUAGCCCAAAUGAGGGUCUUUCUUGAAUUUGCCUUAGUGGCAAUAUGUCUAUUUAUGGCUUGAUGCUUUCCGGAAAUGGACCAUUCACCAACAACCUCGAUUCGGUUUGGAUCACACGAAACACAAUACAACUUGGAGGUUCAUCUGUCCUGCAGAAGACACACCAAACUUCUGCAUGAAGAACCAGACCUCGACAACACAUUUACCACUAUGUCACAGACUAAGGUCAGAAGUACCUAUUCUUGCAGUAGCAAAAGGUGGAGUCAAUUCGUACCAGUGCAAGUAUCCAACACACCAUUAUACCAUUAUAAGUAUCCAACACACCAUUUAGGUUUUGCACAACCAUGAAACUAUUAAGAUGGUAUCUUAAAAUGAAGACAGAGAUCUUCCUUCAUUACUGAACGGUGCAACAAGAGCGAGAGAUAAAGAGAUAGAUCUUCCUCUCUCUCUCUCUCAAUUACCACACACGGUAUAGUUAUUGGAGGCAAGUAAAUUGUCUACUGUUUCAUGUACUAAAGCAUAGUAAGUGUGAUGUACCUAUUAAUAUACUAUGAAUAUUGUGUAAUGUACUCUGUGCUUCUAUCGUGUUAAUACAAAAAUUUAUGUUGGAGGGCAUCA